rnacentral:rRNA from 1 species
UACGUAGGGUGCAAGCGUUUGUCCGGAAUUAUUGGGCGUAAAGAGCUCGUAGGCGGUCUGUCGCGUCGGAUGUGAAAAUCCAGGGCUCAACCCUGGACCUGCAUUCGAUACGGGCAGACUAGAGUUCGGCAGGGGAGACUGGAAUUCCUGGUGUAGCGGUGAAAUGCGCAGAUAUCAGGAGGAACACCGGUGGCGAAAGCAGCUCUCUGGGACGGUACUGACGGCUGAGACGCGAAAGCGUGGGGAGCGAACAGG